CUUCUGAGGUUAGUAGGCCCCUUCUUUCAUAAAUACUCCCAUGUGUAUGAGCCGUUGCAAAGGCAUAUCGGCUAUCUGUGUAUAUGUUAGCCUUUUUCCCUUCGGAUAGUUCUAGGGCCUUGGUGAGCGCUAUCAGCUCAGCCUUUUGUGCAGACGUACCAGGAGGUAGUGGUUGUGCCCAUAUGAUGUGGUGGCCAUCUACUACCGCCACUCCCGCCCUCCGGGUACCUGAGUCGAUGUAACUGCUCCCGUCCGUAUACCAAGAGUGAUCCGCAUCUGGGAGCUCUUGAUCUUUAAGGUCUUCCCGUGUCCCAUGGGUCUCAGCCAGUACCUGCCGGCAAUCGUGUGUGCUCGGUUGGUCUUCUGGCGCCGGUAGCAACGUGGCAGGGUUUAAGGUAACCGGAGGGCCAAAUUGGACGCGGUCCGUGUCCAGUAGGAGGGCCUGAUAGUGAGUUAGGCGUGCGUUGGUUAUCCAUCGGUCCGGUGGCUGCCGCACUAUGGCCUCUAAAGCAUGCGGGGUGAUAACAGUUAGUGGCUGUCCAAGGGUUAAUUUGGCAGAGUCCUUGACCAGCAUAGCAGUAGCUGCCAAGAUGCGAAGACAUGGGGGCCACCCGGCUGCCACAGGGUCCAACUUUUUGGACAGGUAUGCUACUGGUCUCUUCCAGGGCCCUAAUUUCUGGGUUAGGACUCCUUUGGCAAUUCCUUGUCUCUCGUCUAGGAAGAGGAUAAAGGGCUUGGAGGUGUCUGGCAACCCAAGAGCCGGGGCGGAGAGGAGGGCCUCUUUUAGGGCCUCAAAGGCUGACUGAUGUUUUUCCUGCCAGGUGAAGGGUGCACUCUCUUUCGUGAGGGCAUACAGGGGGGCGGCUAGCUCAGCGAAUCCGGGUAUCCAUAAGCGACAGAACCCAGCAGUUCCCAGGAAUUCACGUACCUCUCUGGGGUUCUGGGGCGGCGGGAUGCGAGCCACAGUAGAUAGGAAGA